rnacentral:rRNA from 1 species
ACGGGUGCGUAACACGUAUGUAACCUACCUUAAUCAGGGGGAUAGCCUCUCGAAAGAGAGAUUAAGACCGCAUAACAUCAGCUUACAGCAUUGUAUACUGAUCAAAUAUUUAUAGGAUUAAGAUGGGCAUGCGGAACAUUAGCUAGUUGGUAAGGUAAAGGCUUACCAAGGCUACGAUGUUUAGGGGAUCUGAGAGGAUGACCCCCCACACUGGUACUGAGACACGGACCAGACUCCUACGGGAGGCAGCAGUAAGGAAUAUUGGUCAAUGGGCGGAAGCCUGAACCAGCCAUGCCGCGUGCAGGAAGACUGCCCUACGGGUUGUAAACUGCUUUUGUACCGGAAUAAACCUUGAUUCGUGAAUCAAGCUGAAUGUACGGUAAGAAUAAGGAUCGGCUAACUCCGUGCCAGCAGCCGCGGUAAUACGGAGGAUCCAAGCGUUAUCCGGAUUUAUUGGGUUUAAAGGGUGCGUAGGUGGCUUUUUAAGUCAGGGGUGAAAGACGGUAGCUUAACUAUCGCAGUGCCUUUGAUACUGAAGAGCUUGAAUGAACUAGAGGUAGGCGGAAUGUGACAAGUAGCGGUG